rnacentral:tRNA from 1 species
AGUAGAAUGACUGAGAUUAAUAGGUAAUAAACUGUAAAUUUAUGUAGGGAUAAUUUUAUCCUUCUACUA